GCAUCGGAAUACAUGCAGUCGAACGAGGUGCUUUUGUAGCAAUACGAGGGUAUCCUAGUGGCGAACGGGUGAGUAACGCGUUGGUGACCUGCCCCAAAGUGUGGGAUAACAGUCCGAAAGGAUUGCUAAUACCACAUGUGGUCCUCGGAUUUAGAAACCGAUGACUAAAGCAGCAAUGCGCUUUGGGAGGGACCUGCGUCCCAUCAGCUAGUUGGUGAGGUAACGGCCCACCAAGGCUACGACGGGUAGGGGACCUGAGAGGGUGGCCCCCCACAAUGGAACUGAAACACGGUCCAUACACCUACGGGUGGCAGCAGUAGGGAAUAUUGCACAAUGGGCGAAAGCCUGAUGCAGCAACGCCGCGUGAGCGAUGAAGGCCUUCGGGUCGUAAAGCUCUUUUCUGGGAGAUGAGAAAGGACAGUAUCCCAGGAAUAAGUCUCGGCUAACUACGUGCCAGCGGCCGCGGUAACACGUAGGAGGCGAGCGUUAUCCGGAUUCACUGGGCGUAAAGCGCGUGCAGGCGGUUCGGUAAGUUGGGCGUGAAAUCUCCCGGCUCAACUGGGAGAGGUCGUCCAAUACUACCGGACUUGAGAGCGAUAGAGGAAAAUGGAAUUCCCGGUGUAGUGGUGAAAUGCGUAGAUAUCGGGAGGAACACCAGUGGCGAAAGCGAUUUUCUGGAUCGUUUCUGACGCUCAGACGCGAAAGCUAGGGUAGCAAACGGGAUUAGAGACCCCGGUAGUCCUAGCUGUAAACGAUGUGAACUUGGCGUUGGUGGCUUAAACUCCAUCAGUGCCGAAGCUAACGCGAUAAGUUCACCGCCUGGGGACUACGGCCGCAAGGUUA
rnacentral:rRNA from 1 species